CUUGUAGUUUAAUUAAAAUAUAAUAGUGAAAAUAUUAUGAUAUUUGUUUUAAGAAUA
rnacentral:tRNA from 1 species